rnacentral:lncRNA from 1 species
GGCAAGAGACCGACCGCUAAAUGAACAGGGCCCGUACGCCAACCAACCAUCACCGCACCGGAUCGACCUGCUCGCGCGGCGUCUGUGUGGCGGAUGUGUACGGAAUACCUAUGGAUACGACCGCGGAAGACGACGCCAUGCUCGCCCGGGCCGUCCACGACGUCCGCCGCGCGUGGCAAGUCCGUAGGGCGUGGUGAUGGGCUGACCGGGCCCCUCCCUAGCCCGAACGGUCAAACUGGGCUGGCAGUCACAUUCAAGGCCCGUCACGCGGAGUGUCAUAACUGUUGACAUAAUGGGCCAACCACACGCCACCGACCAAUUUGGCACAGAUCAUACUGUUUGCUCCUUCUACACGGCCCAGAGCCUAAUGGGCAGAACAUGCAGGUACUAAUCCUCCAAAUUUAGCCCAGACAAAUUUUACCUUAGCUAGAGAGGAACUUAGAAGUUGGCAAAGAGAAUGAAAUGUUUUAUCCAAUGACCAGUCUCCCCCACCUCACUCCUCACCGAUAA